GGACAGAAUUCUGCGGCCAAGGAGAAGGAAGAAAAAAGAAAAAUUGCCCGCCGUCGCACACGAUCUCCAGACUCUGGGAGAACUGCCAGGCCACGAUCUCAACGCAGACAGACACUAAGGGCGACGUGGGAGUUGAUUGCAGUACAAAUGGAUAUAUCAACACUCAUCCCUCUUCCAAUUUACAGUUCAUACGAAAAUAGAAAACAGACAAAGAAAGAAGAGCAGAGCAUAAUCAAACCCAAACGGAGGAGAAAAUUCUUAUCAAAUCGGCAGAGGAACUACAUUGACUGAUCUGGUCAGGAGAAAUUGGUGUUUUGAAGUGAAGAAGGGCAUGCCAAGCAGUAGAAAGAUUAUACAGAAAUAUAUAUAAACACACCCGUCCACCAAACUCUCUCAAACCAUUUUGGAGGAAAGUUACCAGCUAGGCGCCCUCAACAAAAGAAAAUGUUUCAAAGAAACGAGGGCUUUAGGAGACGUGUUUCUGUGUUUUCAUCUGGUUGGCGAAUGGGACUAUCAGUAAAAAUGAACACCGCUAAUCUUAGUGAACUUAUUUUGAAAGAGUGGAAGAAAAAAAAGCAUGCACAGUAUGUACUCUGUUAGUUUGUUUCUUAUCUUCCAAGUGUAGUUAUCAAAUUGAUUGUCACCUUUUGAAAUUCUUACAGUUGGUGCUACAAAAACGCAUGUAGAGAGUUAUUAACACAUGAUAUUUGUCACAUUAAACGAACUUGGAGAAAAGUUUUGCGCAUUAGUUCUACAUCAAGCGUUUUCAGGAUUUGAAACAUGAUAUUGAGCAUUCUUCCAAUAAUUGGAGCAAGGGUGUUGCAGUAAGGGAAUUGUCUAACUUCAUGUUUGGGCAACGACUGAUGACAAAUGGAUGGCUGAGAUGGAGUUGAUUGGAGCAUGUUAACUUUAAUGAACAAAUAUGUAUAUAUGCACUUUUUAGAAGAUUCUUUUUAAAAAGUACGUUUGUAAACAUUUGUAUAUAUUGGUGCAUGUUUCUGUAUGGAGAUUAAUGUUUUUUUUACUAAUGAAUUGCCA